UACGAAGGGGGCUAGCGUUGCUCGGAAUUACUGGGCGUAAAGCGUGCGCAGGCGGUUUGCUAAGACAGGUGUGAAAUCCCCGGGCUUAACCUGGGAACUGCGCUUGUAACUGGCAAGCUGGAGUGUGGCAGAGGGGGGUGGAAUUCCACGUGUAGCAGUGAAAUGCGUAGAGAUCCGGAGGAACACCAGAGGCGAAGGCGGCAACCUGGCACGUUACUGACGCUCAUACACGACAGCAUGGGGAGCGAACGGG
rnacentral:rRNA from 1 species